GAUCAAAAGGACGGGUUUCUCAUACUGAACAAUGAAGCUUCCUUUAAUUUUUAUUUUACUCUUUGCAGCUCCACUGUAUGUCCACUCCAGUGUCCAACUUGUGGAAUCUGGACCUGAAACACUGGCCCCUGGGCAAACCCUCAGGCUAACUUGCACUGUCACAGGAGAUUCUGUGGAGAAUGCUUACUGGGAAUGGAUUCGUCAGGCUCCCGGAAAAGGACUGGAAUGGUUGGGCCAGAUAGACUGGGAUGGUUCAUCAUGGCGCACAUACUAUGCCUCAUCUCUCCAAAGCCGAUCCACCCUCUCGGCUGAUUCCUCCAAGAAUGAGUAUUAUCUGGAGUUGAGAUCUUUGACAGCUGCAGACUCAGCUACCUAUUACUGUGCCCGAAGACCACAGUGA